UUACGGCCAUAUUACGUUGAAACCGCGGUUCUCGUACGAUCACCGAAGUUAAGCAGACGUCGAGCCUGGUCAGUACCUAGAUGGGUGACCGCUUGGGAAUACCAGGAGCUGUAAG